rnacentral:rRNA from 1 species
GCCUAACACAUGCAAGUCGAACGAGAACGUUCCGCUUCGGCGGGAUCGGUAAAGUGGCGCACGGGUGAGUAACGCGUGGGUAACCUGCCCUUGAAUUCGGGAUAACUUCGCGAAAGCGGUGCUAAUACCGAAUAUCGUUUCAUGAACUCCGGUUUUUGAAAUGAAAGGUGACCUCUCCAUGGAAGUUGCCGUUCAGGGAGGGGCCCUGCGUCCCAUUAGCUUGUUGGUGGGGUAAUGGCCUACCAAGGCUGUGAUGGGUAGCUGGUCUGAGAGGAUGAUCAGCCACACUGGCACUGAAACACGGGCCAG